UGGCCCACAGACGUGUAUCCAGAACCAC
rnacentral:piRNA from 1 species